rnacentral:rRNA from 1 species
UCCAGCAAUGCCGCGUGUGUGAAGAAGGCCUUCGGGUUGUAAAGCACUUUUGUCCGGAAAGAAAUCCUUGGCUCUAAUACAGUCGGGGGAUGACGGUACCGGAAGAAUAAGCACCGGCUAACUACGUGCCAGCAGCCGCGGUAAUACGUAGGGUGCGAGCGUUAAUCGGAAUUACUGGGCGUAAAGCGUGCGCAGGCGGUUUGCUAAGACCGAUGUGAAAUCCCCGGGCUCAACCUGGGAACUGCAUUGGUGACUGGCAGGCUAGAGUAUGGCAGAGGGGGGUAGAAUUCCACGUGUAGCAGUGAAAUGCGUAGAGAUGUGGAGGAAUACCGAUGGCGAAGGCAGCCCCCUGGGCCAAUACUGACGCUCAUGCACGAAAGCGUGGGGAGCAAACAGGAUUAGAUACCCUGGUAGUCCACGCCCUAAACGAUGUCAACUAGUUGUUGGGGAUUCAUUUCCUUAGUAACGUAGCUAACGCGUGAAGUUGACCGCCUGGGGAGUACGGUCGCAAGAUUAAAACUCAAAGGAAUUGACGGGGACCCGCACAAGCGGUGGAUGAUGUGGAUUAAUUCGAUGCAACGCGAAAAACCUUACCUACCCUUGACAUGGUCGGAAUCCUGCUGA